rnacentral:rRNA from 1 species
CCCUUAGAUGUCCUGGGCUGCACGCGCGCUACACUGACAUGUUCAGCAAGCCUCCUAGUUCGACAGGAUUUGGGAAAUCUUUGAACGCAUGUCGUGAUAGGGAUAGAUCAUUGCAAUUAUUGAUCUUGAACGAGGAAUUCCUAGUAAACGCGAGUCAUCAGCUCGCAUUGAUUACGUCCCUGCCCUUUGUACACACCGCCCGUCGCACCUACCGAUUGAAUGUUUCGGUGAAGAUUCCGGAUAGGACUUUUUUGAUUUAUUUCAAUUUUGUCUUAAAAGCUAUCUAAACCUCAACAUUUAGAGGAAGGUGAAGUCGUAACA